rnacentral:rRNA from 1 species
UACGGGGGGGGCAAGCGUUGUUCGGAAUUACUGGGCGUAAAGGGCUCGUAGGCGGCCAACUAAGUCAGACGUGAAAUCCCUCGGCUUAACCGGGGAACUGCAUCUGAUACUGGAUGGCUUGAGUUCGGGAGAGGGAUGCGGAAUUCCAGGUGUAGCGGUGAAAUGCGUAGAUAUCUGGAGGAACACCGGUGGCGAAGGCGGCAUCCUGGACCGACACUGACGCUGAGGAGCGAAAGCCAGGGGAGCAAACGGG